rnacentral:rRNA from 1 species
AGUGAACGCUGGCGGUAGGCCUAACACAUGCAAGUCGAACGGCAGCACAGUAAGAGCUUGCUCUUACGGGUGGCGAGUGGCGGACGGGUGAGGAAUACAUCGGAAUCUACUUUUUCGUGGGGGAUAACGUAGGGAAACUUACGCUAAUACCGCAUACGACCUACGGGUGAAAGCAGGGGAUCUUCGGACCUUGCGCGAUUGAAUGAGCCGAUGUCGGAUUAGCUAGUUGGCGGGGUAAAGGCCCACCAAGGCGACGAGCCGUAGCUGGUCUGAGAGGAUGAUCGGCCACACUGGAACUGAGACACGGUCCAGACUCCUACGGGAGGCAGCAGUGGGGAAUAUUGGACAAUGGGCGCAAGCCUGAUCCAGCCAUACCGCGUGGGUGAAGAAGGCCUUCGGGUUGUAAAGCCCUUUUGUUGGGAAAGAAAAGCAGCAGGUUAAUACCCCGCUGUUCUGACGGUACCCAAAGAAUAAGCACCGGCUAACUUCGUG